rnacentral:rRNA from 1 species
ACGUACGGCCAUAGACAUUGGAAAAUACGGGAUCCCGUCCGCUCUCCCCUAGUCAAACCAGUGAUCCGGAUUAGUAGUUGGGUCGGUGACGACCAGCGAAUCCCCGCUGCUGUACGUU